CGGGCCUGAUUAUGAGGCGCUCGUUCCGAGCCGUUUAGUCGAUCAGCCUCGCUUCGCUUGCUCUCCGCUUCGACUAACGGCGCUUCCUGGUUAAGUUGAAGCCUCGAGAAUCGGCUUCUGCGCCGACGUCGACUCGGUUUGCUGGAUUGGGCCUUUUGUUCGAUGGGCUUUGUGGAUGGGUUAAAUCCAUCCCCAACAGUAAGUCCCCCCCCAGUUUAUUGAUGGUCGAGCAAUCGAUCCUCGAUGAAUUUGGUGUCUGUGGUUCGGAGAACAAAAGGUUCAACCCGAGCAAGCGACUGACCGUUGAGGAGUCGACCCGUUCAAUCGAUACUUCUCGAUCGAGAGAGUGGAUUGACGCGUCCGUUUUUCACGCGUUGCGAUCGUGAGAUAAAUGCUUACGGGUCGAGAAGACGGACCGGCGCAUCUGUCGACCACGCGCCUAAUUGGGUUUAGGCCCAAUUAGGCCUUAUUAGGCGUAAUGAUGGCGCCUUGAUCUCCGCGCUUAUCUUUUCUUAUAAAUAGCUCCCCCCCUCUCCACUUCUUUUCAUUUCUCUCCGCAGCGCUAAAGGUACUUUCUCUCUCUACGCUCCUUCUCUCUCUUUAUCUUUGUUUUUAGAUCUGCGAUUAUCCGAGAUGUCGUCACCCCGUCGUUUGACGCGAGAACAAAAGGGAAAGGGGGCGGUAUCUUCUCGGGAUUCUGGCGAUACCCAUCACGAAGCGAUGAUGGAUUCGGAAAAUAUGAACUUAUCGCAGCGUCUCUUGGUCUCGGAAGCGAGGGAACAGUUCCGAGGCGAUGACGACGGUCAGGAAGCGGUCGACACCUCGAUUGUUCCGAUCAGCUAUUAUCCCGGGAACAUCUUCGCCGAGGAGAGUCCAAUGGAGGUUUGGAGAAUUCGACCUUCGGUCGUCGACGGACAAGAUUGGUCCAACGUCGAGAGGACGAAGUCCACCGUGGAGUCGGUGGAAGCUAUCCUCCGAGAUCUCAACGCACACGGGGUCUCGUUCAUCAUUCCAAAGCGGGACCAGAGGCCUUGGUCGCCUCCGAAGGGAUAUCAGUGCAUCUACGAGUCGUAUUUCAGGAACGACACGAAAUUAUGGUUCCCGAUUCCUCGAAUCGUCACGGCUUACGCGUUCCGCAGAGGAGUCGCUUUGAGCCAGUUGAUGAACGGUUCUCUCCGGUUGAUGGUCGUUUUAUCGGUGAUCGCGGCUGAAGCGGGGACAUCGAUGAGUGUGAGGUCGUUUGAGGAAUUGACUUCAGUUUCGAUUUCCGACGAUGGGCUCGUCUCGACGAGAAUGCGCCCAAACUAUAACGUGGUCACGGGUUAUCCGACCAAAACUUCAGACUGGCAGCGCUCGUACUUCUACGUGAAGUCGAACAGGUCGGCGUUCGAAGAGCCGCCGAAGUCUGGUUACCGCGUUCUCUGGAAUGCAGAGAUGGGUACUGCACGCUAUCUUAUGUGACGAUUGUGGUGUGUGCUCGUCUAACGCUUAUAUUUUCUUUUUGUAGUUGGUCAUCCGAAUCUCGCUACGUACCCCGAGAAUUGGAAGGAGAGUGCUCGGAUUGUCGCGUUGCAGAAGCAAGAUCACUGGGAGGAUUUUACUCGGGAGAGAAUUCAAAGAUCUGUAGAACGGAUUGCGAGUCGUAAGUUCUCGCUCCUCCUUUAUGUUUCCUAUCAAGCGAACAAAGUCUUAUUGGGAUUUUUCUUUGUUUUUCGCAGAGCGUUGGGUUUCGGACUUGCUUCCUCUCAUCAACCGAUCGACCCUGAAACGGUUGUCUCUUUUUACCCGAGCCGAGCAAAAGGAAAUCAAUCAAGCCCGAACAAUGAAGCAAUUGCCCGAUCUGAGCCUUAUUACGGCGGGGAAGAUAGGUGCCAAAAAGGGUACUGACGGCUCUGCGGGAGUCGAGAUUACGGACGUCGUCCCCGUUAUCGCCGAGCAGGCGCCCGCUGGCGGUUCUUCUCAGGGAAAGGCCUCGAAGAAGAAGAGAGGCAAGGAGACUCGGAAAGAGUCUGACGAGAUAGGUCAAACCGAUCCGGAUAAUCCCUCGAAGAAGAGUAGUAAGAAGAGGAAAGCCGCGGAACCACCUGUGGAAGACGUUCCCAGAAAAAAGAAAACGAAGAAGCAAGACUUCUCCGCGCCCCGACCAUCCUCGGUUUGCGAAGAGGAACUCCGAGCCUUGGUCCCUGACGCUACUCCCGAGGUUGGGACCUCGGAUGAUGACGAGAAUGAGACCAUCGCUUUGCGUCGGAGAAGACGAGAAGGCUCUCAGCAGAAUCGCGGAGCCUUAGUGGGUGAUCAAGGCCUCUCUGAGACUCCGAGGGAAUUGCCAGCCUCUGAAAGACCGCGAGUCCCUCUGAGGGGCGAUUCUUCGGCUCAUAUCACGGAAGGUUCCGAAACCCGUGUGUCCGGCCGUCCCAAGGAGACCCCGGAGGAUGGGUUUAAGUUCGAGUUCAGCCGAGAACUCCCGCUGGCCUGUUACCCGGAGGAUUGCGCUCGCUUGCUGCGACUAGUCAAAGGCGGUCCUGACUUGCUUCCUUCAGUGGGGGACCUCAUCUUUAAAGAUGAGUAUGAACAUGCUUCUUGCUCGUCGGUAAAGGUACGCGGUUGCUUGUUUCCUUCUUUCCUGAGCCUAAAAUUAUUUUGGCUAAGUCUCUCCUUUUUUUUUUUUUAAAUCAGAGUCACGGCGACUGGAAUGUUUUGAUCGGGAAGUAUGACUCGGCCCUUAGGCGGGCCAGAGAGCAGAUCCGCGAGAGCGAAGAAGCCAAGAAGAAAGUGGAGGAGGCUCUUCGGGUGUCUUCGCAAGAAAAGACUGAGGCCGUUGCUCGGGAGAGGUCUCUCAGGAAAGCGUUUGUCGAGACGCGAACAUCUGACGCAGCUGAAUUGCAGAUGUGUAAGGAAGCGAUGAACAACCUCGAGGUUGUGGUAGAUAAGCAGCGGAAGGAAAAGGUCGACCUAGAAAGGAGGAUAGCCGCGGAAUCGCUUAGGCAUUCCGAGGAGAUGACCAGGCUUCGGAAAUCUCGUAGGUACGAGGUUACGCACGAGAGGAUUCGCGUGUUGAUCGCCAUGAUUGCUAAGGCUGAGAAACGCUUCCAUAGGAUUUCUCUUCGUGAGGAUCAACGGGACAAGUAUGACGAUGCUAGGUGCCUCUACAGCCAAGCCUUCGGAACGAGGAAAUGUCUCGAGCAGAUUAAGGCCUCAGGCGUCGAGAUCCCGCAGGAAACCAUCGAUCUCUUCGCUGAGCAAGAGAGGCACUAUGAAGAGGAAGCAGAACGCUUGGAAGUAAAGGAAAUUCCGGCAGAAGACCUUCGCCUCUCCCCGUUAGUGUUGGAAUCCCGGUUUCUGAUCGAAGAGAUUUGGCGUCAGCUCGACCCGUUUGGAUCGAACAUUGGUUUAAUUGAUUCAGAGGCUGCCAUUGCUCUUCGUACUCCCCUCGCCGACCGAAAUCCCCAAUCGGCAGACCCGACGGAGAAACCUGCUCAAACGGCCGUAUCGUCCAAUCAGAAUAUCGACCAAGGCGUCGAUCCAACGGGGCGAACAUCAGAGGGACCGGUUGUCCAGAAAGACGGGGCUGUGCCUACCAUCGUGCUGACUGAUUCCUCUGCAAAGGCGUCGAAGAACGCCAGCUCGUCGGCUUCCUCGUCAGAAGACCCGGGGAAGGGAGGCGACCUUCCAACCGAGACGCCAGCCGCGAAUGUUACCGAGGCAAUCCCAACGAAGUUUGGCCGCGUAUCGGGUCCCGGAGAGGGUGACGGCAGUGGCGACAAGGAUCUUCCUGUGGUCGAUUGAUAAUCCAUGUUGUUUGUUGUAACUUCUUUUACUCUUUUUUUUUUGUUGCCUUGAUUCCUCGGAAUCUAUGAAUUCGGCAUUCUGUAGAAACUUUGAAAUUCCUAUUAAGUGUUUAUUUGGCUUCGAAUCGUAAUUCGUUUCUCAUUAAGUUGUUCCUGACAACCUUGUCCGUAAUUGAAUAUCAAAGAUAUAUAACAAGAAAAAACAAGGCAAGGAGUUUUAACGAGUUUCCGAGGAAAAGGUAUCUGGAUGCUCCGCGGUAACCGAGAGAGAUUUGGUCGGCCAACUCAUUAUUCUCUGAUUUGCGAUAAGAUCCAGAAAUUUCGCUCGUGAGUCGGUCAAUGCCUCAAGCAUCGGUGACGCGGGACUCUGUUUUUCCCGUCGUUUGAUAUCUGAUCAGGAUAUCUUCGACCAAGUGGGAUGAGUGCUCGUGCGCCGCUUUCGAGUUAAGGGGCUAGCAUCAUUUGAUGGGUCUUUUACUCGGGAGAGUGAGACGAAAUGUGUUUUUGUUAGGUUGGGGCUGGACCCCGUAGAGGGGAUGCCUACGUACCUCCGGGGAGGAUCAAGCCUUUCGUAGUUCAUUUUGGUCCAAGUAAAAGUGACUUGGUAGUCAUUUACUUGGACGAGUAGAAGUGACCGUAGGGUGCAUCUACUCGGGUUUUUUUUUUUUUUUUUUUUUUUUUUUUUUUUUUUUUUUUUUUUUGGGAGUAAAACGGUGAUGUAAAUCAUUUUACUCGUUCCGACAGGUUACUCGUUUUACGAAUAGAAGCGACGAAGAUGCAUGGAGUUCCAAGCUCGUGGAACUGCUUCUCCGUGGGAAGUCUCGAGUCGGUAUACUCCUGGUUUGACGACUCGAGUGAUCUUAUAUGGUCCUUCCCAAUUUGCGCCGAGUUUUCCAGCGUUGGGUUCCUUGGUGUUCUCAAAGACUUUUCUCAUAACCAGAUCGCCGAGCUCGAGGGGACGCGAGCGGACCUUUUUGUUAUAGUAGCUCUCGAUUUGGUUUUGGUAGUUUUGGAUUCGGAGUAAGGCUUGGUCGCGCUUUUCCUCUAGCCCGUCGAGGGCAUCUAGCAGCAUUUCUUGAUUAAGUUCGACAUGCUGAGGCAUCUUGGACCGGCGGAGACUUGUUACAUUGACCUCGGCUGGAGCCAUUGCUUCCAUCCCGUAAGCGAGCGAGAAAGGGGUAGAUUUUGUCGCUCCUCGGGGGGUUGUCCGGUGCGACCAGAGCACGCCGUCGAGUUCAUCAGCCCAAUGUCCCUUUUUGAGAUCAAGGCGCUUCUUGAUUCCGUCGAUGAUGAUCUUAUUCGAGGAUUCUGCUUGUCCGUUUCCUUGAGGGUACCUCGGCGUUGAAGGGCUUAGUCGGAUGUUCCACUUAUUGCAGAAAUCUUUAAAGUUUCCGGACAUAAACUGUGAUCCGUUGUCCGUCACGAUCUCGUAUGGCAGGCCGUGGCGACAGAUAAUGUUCUUCCAAACAAAGCCGCGAACCUCCUUCUCUGUAACCUGCGCGAAGGCUUCUGCUUCAAUCCAUUUGGUGAAAUAGUCGGUCAAUACCAGCACGAAACGACGUUGGCGAGAAUUCGGCAUUGGUCCGAUGAUAUCCAUCCCCCAUCGCAUGAAUGGGUAAGGUGCUGCGGAAGUUCGCAGUAGCUCGGUUGGACUGUGGAUACUCGGAGCGUGUCGUUGGCAUUUGUCGCAUCGUCGGGCAUAUGCUUCGCAGUCGGUAUUCAUAGUUGGCCAGAAAAAUCCCAAGUUCCGAAUCUUCAGGGCUAGUGACCGACCUCCGGAAUGGUUUCCACCUGCUCCUUCGUGAGUCUCCGCCAUUACUAGCUGCGUUUGCUCGGCAAAAAUGCAUUUCAGGAGGACCUUGUUAGCCGUUACUCGGUGGAGUUCUCCUUCCAUGACGACAUAGUGCGCGCUGCGCCUCUUUAAUCGUCUUGCGGCCCAUUUAUCCGUUGGAAGUGUGCCCGCGGUGAGAUAUUGGAUGAAUUCAGUCCUCCAGUCGGGUAGUAGCUGAUCUUGGUCUAUCAUCUCGGAGUCGUCGUUGGUCUCUGAUAAGGGCGUUGUUUCGGGUUCUGUGGUGACGAAGUUAGCCGACUCCGUCGAGAUGUCGAUGCUUGGCUUCUCGAUUCGGUGGAUUGGAAUAGUUCUUUUGACUUGAUCGCGUAGCUUGCUUCCGAGUGCUGCGAGCGCAUCCGCACAGACGUUUUCUCCACGAGGCACCUUGGUGAGCUCGAAGAAUUCGAAUUCUUUAGCCAAUGCUUGUACGACUCGGAGAUAAGCAUCCAUUCUGUCGUUGCGCGCAUCGUAAUCACCGCUGAACUGACUGGCGACAAGCUGUGAGUCGCAGUAUGCACUGAGUCGCUUUGCCUUGACUGCUUUGGCGAGGCGAAGGCCCGCGAUGAGUGACUCGUAUUCUGCUUCGUUGUUUGAUGCUGGGAAACCGAAGCUGAACGACUGUCGAAUGAGCUCUCCCGAUGGGGAUUGAAGCUGAACUCCUGCUCCAGAGCCUUUGUUCGUCGAGGAACCGUCGACAUGCAGGAUCCAUGUUGAAUCCGAGGUUUCCAAAUCUUGAGCGAGUUCCGGAGAUAACUCCACGAGAAAAUCGGCGAGGACUUGAGCCUUAGCAGCGGUUCUGCACUUAUAGGUGAUGUCGAGCUCUCCGAGUUCGAUCGCCCAUUUGGUAAGACGGCCGGCUCUGUUCGUGUUUUGCAGGACGGUUCUGAGCGGCUGGUCGGUGAGAACUUCUACCGAAUGUGAUUGGAAAUAUGGGCGGAGUUUCCUCGCUGAUUCGACGACGGCCAGGGCCAUCUUUUCGAGUGUUGGGUACCGGGUUUCUGGUCCAGUCAUCCUCCUGCUCAUGUAGAAAACAGGUCGUUGUUCUCCUCGGUCCUCCUUGAUUAGCACGCUGCUGACUGCGGCGGACGAGACCGCAAUGUAGAGGGAUAAAACGUCGCCUACAUCUGGUUUCGCCAGGAUAGGGGGGGUCGUCAGGUAACAUUUGAGCUGACCAAAAGCCUCCUCACAUUUAUCAUCCCAGACGAAUUUUUUGUUUCCUCGGAGGAGAUCAUAAAAAGGGAGACAUUUAUCGGUUGACCGGGAAAUGAAACGAUUUAGUGCUGCAAUUCGGCCUGUCAGUCGCUGGACUUCUCGGCAGUUUCUUGGACUGGGUAGAUCGAGCACGGCCGAUAUUUGCUUAGGGUUCGCUUCGAUCCCUCGCUGCGUCACUAUGUAGCCUAGGAAUUCUCCGGAUGAUACGCCGAAGGUGCAUUUGGCCGGGUUUAGCUUCAUCUUGUACGCGUUUAGGAUGUCGAAACACUCCCGUAAAUGUACCAGGUGGUCGUCUGCUCGGAUUGAUUUGACAAGCAUGUCAUCAAUGUAGACUUCCAUCGUUGUACCGAGCUGUUUGGCGAACAUGCGAUUGACAAGCCGUUGGUAGGUCGCACCGGCAUUCUUCAACCCGAAGGGCAUUACUUUGUAGCAGUACGUUCCUCGGUCGGUUAUGAACGACGUCUUCUCUCGGUCAUCAGGAUGCAUCAUGAUCUGGUUGUAUCCCGAGAAAGCGUCCAUGAACGUGAGCAUUUCAUUGCCGGCGGUUGAUUCGACAAGCCUGUCGAUGUUCGGAAGCGGAUAGCUGUCUUUCGGGCAAGCUUUGUUGAGGUCAGUAAAAUCGACGCACAUGCGCCACUUGCCGUUCUUCUUCUUGACAACGACUGGGUUAGCAAGCCACUCCGGGUAACGAACUUCUGCUAUCGAGCCCGCGCUUAACAAUCGCUCGACUUCCUCGACAACUGCUUUGGAUCUUUCGGGACCCAGCUUUCGUCUCUUCUGUCGAAUGGGCUUGAUAUUUGGGUCUACGUUUAGCUCGUGAGUCGUGAUGGACGGGUCGAUUCCCUUCAUGUCGGUCAUCGACCAAGCAAAGGUAGACAAGUUUUGCUUUAAGAAAUCUGUGAUAGUGCGCUGCAUCUCGUCCGACAAGUAAGCGCCUACUCGUAGCACUUUACUUGGGUCCGAUUCGUCGACUGGGACUUCGAGCACCUCUUCCUUUUGUGGGCAGAUCUUGCUUACAGGAGGGGAGAUCGAGUUGACUAGUGAUUGAGAUCGCUGCAAUUUGACCGUGGCGAUUAGGAGAUCUCGCGCAGCCCGUUGGUCUCCUCUUACUGUCUUAACCGUACCGUCCGUUCCCGGGAAUUUAACGCACUGAUGAUACGUUGAUGCGAUUGCUCGCAUGGAGUAUAACCAUGGGGUGCCUAGUAUCACGUGGUAAGGAGCCUUGGUGCUGACUACCGAAAACUUGACCAUCCGAGCUACUCCCUCAGCUUGUACCGAGAGACGGAUAGUUCCCAUGAUCACUUCAGAGGAGCCGUUGAAGCCGGUGAGAGUUCUGGAAGAUGGUUUCACGUCUUUUAAGUCGAUUCCCAUUUUUUCGAGAGUUUCGCGAAAGAUGAUAUCGACCGAGCUUCCGGUAUCGAUCAGUACUUUGGUGACGUCAUAUUUGUCAAUAGCCAAAACGACAAGAAGAGGGUCGUUGUGAGGAAAGUUUACUCCGAGAAGGUCUUCGGUCGAGAAAGAGAUUGGAGGAUCAGCUGGGGACUUCUGUGGCCAGCGCUGCGAGGUGUCCACCAUUCGUCGGUGAUCUUUGACCGCUCGUACAGAAUCCCCGCAUGGUGGAGAUCCUCCCAUAAUCACGUUGAUCCGCGGCCUGGUAUUCGACCGCUUCCUGAUGAGAAGAGCUCGGAGGUCUUCGCUUUCCUUCGGCGGCCCGGCUUUUUUAUGGUCUAACUUUGUACGCAGAUCACCGACUCGCGCAUUAAGUUGAUCUCGUAGGUCGACGAUAUGGUUAUCGUCGGUAGUUGCCAGCGAAGAUCCUGGGCUCAGCGAACGCUUACUUCUUUUGGCGGUGAGCUCGACUCGGAGAUCGGAAGAUCCGGGAGUCUUGUCGUUCGUCGCCGUGGUCUUUCGUUUGAGAAGUACGCGCAAGUCUAACGGGUCGAGGGUUUCCUCGAGAUCACUCUCUUCGUCUGAUGAGGACUCCGGUUGGGCGCGAAUAACUUCAAUCCUUUGUCUGGCUGCCGGCGGAUCUUCGUCGGCCGAGGCGUCACCAUCGUCGCUUGGGUGUGGGAUUUGCUCGGCAUUCCUUGGCCUUUGGUCAUCUUGGCGCGGUUUAGCCGGAUUUUUUCGCUGAUUUUUCCUGUCCUUGUUUCUGCUCCAACUGUUCUCGCUUCUAGGCUUCGGAGGAGGAAUCUUGAUUUCACCGCUUUCAAGUGAGGAGAGGAAUUGCGCGAAAAGUGUUUUGCAUUCUGAAGUGUCGUGGCCUUUUACACCGUGGAGUUUGCACGAUUUAGUAAGCCCUGGUGGGGUCCGAGAAGAUCCCGCUGCCAAAUCGACCUGGGCGACCGUGGCUGGGGCGGUUGCUCGGGGGGAUUCGUUUGGAGGAUCCGUUUCCCGAUGAAAGGUGUUCCACUUCUUCCCGUUUUCGUCAACAACGUAGAGGAGGCCGUUCUUUCGGUUAUUUUUAUCGCUUGGGGCGUGCUGACGGGGUUCGACGUGAGCCGUGACGGCGUUCUUAGGAGCUGAUUGCUUCGCCGGGUUGUGCUUGCUCAAGAUGGCUUUAGUGUCUUCUUCCAUGCGUAUGAAGUUAUGGGAACGAGCAACGGCAUCUUGCAGCGUCGUGGCGGUGCAUCGAUAAAGAUCUUCUCGGAACUUACAUUCCACAAGGAGAUUAUUCCUCAAGGCAUCAACAGCAAUGUGGUCCGGGAUGUUGAUCCUUGACACGACGGAUUUAAAGCGCUCCAUGUAAUCACGAAGAUUCUGGUCCUUCGUUUGCUUGAGGUUCCAGAGGGUCGAAGCCGUUGCUUCGCGCUUGGUGAACAUGAUGUAAGUCUUGAGGAAGGCCGAGGAGAGCUCUUUGAAGCUUCUAAUUGAAUUCUCUUCGAGUCCCGAGAACCAGGUUAAGGCUUGCUCGUUGAGUGUUUCAAUGAAGAGUUGGCAGUAUCCCGCGUCUCUUUCGUCGGGGGCAAGUCUGGCCCUUGCUACCGCAAUAUUGAAGGCUGUCAAAUGCUCGACGGGAUCUCCUCCUGGUUUGUACUCUGGAAGGCGCAACUUGUCCAUCUUUCGGAGUUUAACCUCCGUCAGUUCCUCGGUGAAAGGAGUACGCGAUGUUGAUGCGAUGACACUGUCAAUCUCGGGUACUGCGCUCGUUGCUUGGUGGAUCCUUGAACUCAUUUGUUGGAAAUUUAGUUUAAGCUCGGCGAGUUCUCGGACGGUCGAUGGAUCUGACGUUGUAGGAAAAACAUCGGCGGCUAGGGUUUCCGCGAGUUGGAGAGUAGGAUCGACUGGGUUCGUCGAUCGUCCUUCCGCCGGAGUAGGGGGGUUUGUAUUGAAAAGGUGACGACGAAGCGGUUGAGAGUUACCGGUGGAGGCGCUAAGAGCAGCUACGAUAGCGGCGAGUUGAUCGUUCGUCGUCUUCUGAACUUCUUCUUGAUGAGCAAGUCGGGCUAUGACUGAACUCAUGAACUCCGACGAGAGGAGGGGAGGAGGCGUGAGUGCCGGCUCCUCUCCGGAGGUAUCAGGGUUCGUACCUCCGGUGGUCAUAUCGGUCUAGAAACGCUAGGUCUGUUCGGCCCCACGGUGGGCGCCAAUUGUUUAAGGCGAGUUUGGUCUCGGUGAAGUAAACAAUACUAAAAAUGGGUCGAACAGAGGCGUUUAUUAGAUUUCGAGAUGAUGUUACAAAGGUGGAGAAAGUAAAAGCAGGCCGGAGCUCGUGAGAGCUUAAACCGGAAAAGUACAAAUAGCAGAGAGAUGAUUGUACGGAUGAUAAACCCUAAUCUCGCCGCUAAGUUUGUGUAGCUCAGUGUUCAUCCCCUUUCUCCUUUGCUUUCCUCUCCUUUUAUACUCUGUUCGAUUACCUUAACCUAAUCUCUUUUUACUGAUUGGGCUUUGUCGGCCCUUCGGGCCUGAUUAUGAGGCGCUCGUUCCGAGCCGUUUAGUCGAUCAGCCUCGCUUCGCUUGCUCUCCGCUUCGACUAACGGCGCUUCCUGGUUAAGUUGAAGCCUCGAGAAUCGGCUUCUGCGCCGACGUCGACUCGGUUUGCUGGAUUGGGCCUUUUGUUCGAUGGGCUUUGUGGAUGGGUUAAAUCCAUCCCCA
rnacentral:lncRNA from 1 species